AACUAACACUGCGGCCUGCGACUGCGAGACGAGGUGGAGCCGCAAAACUCUGAGCUGGAAGAGUUAGAUCUGACAAGUUAUCAAGGACCUACGGUCGUUCACUGCCUAGAUCUUCACUUCCAACUGAGAAUAACGCGGAUACGAAGAUUUCCAAAAAGAACACGGAGCGGACGAUGCAUAGACGACAUGCAUUUCGCAUGUCUACUUCAGAGGCGGUCGACUAUGUUCUCCUCGGUUCUAAUCUCGAGCGAAGUCACCUGAUGAUAACGGGACGAAGACUUUAUCCCGCGAGGCUCUUCACGAACGCGCGGGCGAGCGGAAAUCCAGUCGUGUCAUCUUCUCGGGAGAGAAUUACGAAUGAGAUUCGUCAUUGAGACAGGACGAUCGAGCCCGAUGACCCAAGGACAAUGUCGCGCGAAGGCCAUUUUGAGAGACUUAGAUGUGCGACGGAAACCACGAUCACUUCCAAUCUGCGUGCAAAACGUGAUAAAGAAUCGUCACCGGAGAUUCAGCGAUAAGAGGCCUGGGAACACGUAGAGCUGUGCAAAGGCCGUUCUCCAUUUCACAAGCCGGAAACACGAACACCAAAAAUGAGAUCUUUCGUCUUUUGAAACUAAGCGCUUCUUCUCGUUAAUAUCCUCCCAAGAAGCGCAUAUAGGAAUUCCAAUAUAAUAACAAAAUCAUCCUGAUCGAGUUUUAUUCUUCUUUCAAUAUAGAAGAUGAUAAUAUAUGAUAUAAAGAUGGAGAUAAAAAAGAAAUUAUGAAGAAGAAUGCAUUUGCCCGAUCGAAUAUACCUUUGUGAAACGUAGAUAAAUGUUUGCGUGAUGUAACGACUUCUGAUAAUUGAUACUUCUUCGUUAGCUUUGGCUUCUAGUUCCGAAAGAUAAAUCGAAAAAGUUGUUCGAUGCAUGAGGUGUUUUCCCAUAUGAUUAUCGGAUCCAUGAAAAGUUCGUUAGAAGGAUCUCUAUCUACGAAAACUUCGAAAUUCGAAGACAAUAUACGCAACGUCAUUAUGUAAAUCCACCUCAUAAAAUGAAUGUUUGCAUUUCAUUUUAAUUCAAACUGUUAAAGCGCGCAUGAAUUGGCAAGUCAAUGAGUGUGAUAUGUCUUUAAACUUCACACACUAUCGAAUGAGCAAAAAA